rnacentral:tRNA from 1 species
UCCCUGGUAGCUCAGACGGUAAAGCAUCUGCCUACAACGCAGGAGACCUAGGUUCGAUCCCUGGGUUGGGAA